rnacentral:snRNA from 1 species
AGCUUUGCGCAGUGGCAGUAUCGUAGCCAAUGAAGUUUAUCUGAGGCGCGAUUAUUGCUAAUUAGAAAUGCUAGAAAGAAAUCU